rnacentral:lncRNA from 1 species
GGCCUUCAUCAUUCUUACCUGGUCUAACACAAUUUCCUUCCAAAUAUUUUCUGUGCAUCUAAUUUAUCCCCAUUGUUAUUUAUCCUUUAUCAUGCUGCCCCAGAGUUAUCUUUCUAAAACAGGAGCUAAUACGUUUUUCUAUAGAGGGAUAGAUAGUAAAUAUUUUAGGCUUUGCGGAUCGUGUGGUCUCUGUGGCAACUGUUUAACCCUGCCACUGUACCAUGCUAGUAUCCGUAGACAAUACAUAAAUGGAUGGCUGUGGCUGUGUUUCAAUACACCUUUACUUACAAAAACAGUCAACAGGCUAGAUUUGGCCCAAGUGCUGUAGUUUGCUGACCCCUGUCCUACAACAUAACUUGCAACAUGUAUCUCCCCAACAAAGUCUUUCCAUUUUCUACAGAACAUAAUAUUCACCAUCUUUCUAAAUCUGGCAUCAUCCCUAACUUAGCACUUAAGACCAAUUGCCUCAAACUCUCCAGUUCUCACCUAUAUUCUGACAUAUUCCUAAUAUCUUCUGAUUUGAUGGAGAUGAGAAGAUGGUUUAGUGGUAGGUAGGCUUGGGGAUUUGGUCGUGGGAAGAUGGAAUGCUUCCAUCUGAUAGUUCCAUAUUUUUAGUAAAGUAUGGGCAAGGACACCAGCCUACAGAUAAAGGUGGAAGAGGUGGGGCAGAAGAUCCAAAAGAGAGGAUCCAGAUCAAUAUGAUCAUCCUGGGGAACAGCAAAGUAAAUUCAUUAGAGAAAUGUAGCAAGAUUUCUGGGUCAUAUCAAGAUUCAAACUGUGGCCUAACGUUAUGAAUUUAAAGCAAAACUAGCCACCAGAUUAUGUGAUUUCUGUGAUUACUAAGACUUUCCUGUUUAGAUGCAAACAAGGGAAAAGUCUGAAGGAAGGAGAGUUCACACAUGGAUUGAGGCUUUGUAAGGUGAGCUCAAGUGAGGGAAAGAAGAAACUGGGAGUUGAAAGUAUUUGCAAAAGGGCACUAUGCAGAUGAUAAUGGAAUCUGUGCUGAACAAGAUGGAAAGUGAUGACAAGAGAAAACUGAUGGAUAAUAAGAGAAUGAUGGGAUGGAAGGGUCAAAUGUCCCCCUCAUUGAAGAACUAUGUGGUUGUAUGGACGUACUUGUAUCAAUGAACUGAAUGCAUAGGAAGCUGUAGUGGGAAAGUUAGAUGUUUCUUUUUGAAAAGGUUUAUAUUUUUUAAGAGAUGUAAAGGUCCAGGGUGUGACCAUAAAGUGAUUGAAGUGGAAAAAAGGAAAUGUCAAUGGAAUAUGGAAAUCAAGAAACUUGGAAGCUGGGGCUUUUUGAUGGGUUGUCCCCUUAGAUAUUGAAAUUACUAAGGAUAAAGGAAGGAAACUGGAAAUGGAAGACGCUGCCAGGAACAGAAGACUAUUGAAUGAGCAGAUGUGACUAGGAGGUUGGCGGAAGGGUCUAAGGAGGUGUAGGAAACAGUGGUAUAUCCAGAUGACAUUAGCAUUAAAAAAACAGUGAUUUUUGCAGGAGGGAAAGUGUGAGAUAAUUUGAAAGUAGCAAUGUACCUACCUCAACUCCUGGCCCUGAUGUUCACUCAGGGCCCAGGUAUGUUUCAAGUAAGGCAAGGAGGUGAAGGGACUGUUUGAAGGAAAGGGAACUGCUGAUCACAGAUUGGGGUCACAGAGACACUGAAAGGAUUUGUUUGGGAAGGAAGAGAAGUGGAGAAGAUAAACAGAGCUGUGGGUUAAGAAGUGGUGAAAAACAAUGACUGAGAGAGGCGGAGACUCCUGCAGAUUAGUGAGGUACACAGGGAUGUGAAGCGUGGUGGGACUGGUUCUGAGAGGCUCACCUUGUAAUACUGUUGGUGGUGUGUUAGCCUCAGGCAUUAAGUUAUGGCAUGCCCUCAGGACUAAUAGUUACUCUCUCAGCAGCUGAGAGUUCUAGAAUCAUCUGCCACAAUAAGCUCCAUUAUCUUGGGCAAGGAAUUUAGUGCCUCUCAAAACCUCUUAAAACCUCAUGUUCGCCAUCUAUGCCAUGAGGAGUUCGUCUAAGUAAUCUCUUGAACUUCUUCAGACAUUUUAAAUAUCUGAGUGUGAAGGAAUGGGAUCAUGCCACUGAGAAAGGAAGUCCUGGACCUGAGAGCAUUUGGCUGUUGAGUUUCCUCAGUCUUCUUUAAUCUGGAAGCUUUCUUCAAUCUUUGCUUGCCUGUCAUGACCUUGGCAUUUUGUCAAGGAGAUUGAGUAUCAUAAAUGUGAAGGUGUUCACCUGAGACAGAUCAGCCAACUGGAACUUCAACACAGGAUUUCAACCCAGGCUGUCCAGGCUUUUCCUGUCAUGUCAUACUGCCUUUUAAAACAGACAGUUGUUUGCAUUUGACAAAAAACUUCAUGAGGAACUGACAUGCCAGCACAGAUGAAGUGGGACAUAAACACCAUGCACAGAGGUACACAUCCAAUCCAAGAAGAGGAUGCAGACCAGACAAGGUCAGAAACAUUCCCCUUUGCCACAGAGCUAAGAAUGCAUCAGUCCCCUAGAGAGCAAAGAUUUAAAAAGUUAAUGCCAGACCCAUAAUGCGUAUUAUUUGUAUUUACAUGUAUACAUUAUUGUAUUUUAUUUGUAACAUGUCCAUGUGCUGCUAUCAUUCGGGUUUAUACAUUGAGUUAUUCUCAACAUUUCCUUUCGUUGUCUUUGUAUUGUCUUGAUGUAUUAUAAGGCCUUUAAUUUAAUUAAACCAGACGAACACAACUGACAAUUACAGCCAGGAAUUUGGAACCAGACAAAAGCAGAACGAUACCUUAAUAAGGCUAAUUCUUGACUAUGCUAGAAGUUACAAAUUCACUCAAAUUUUGAGCGCAUUUUAGAGCAAGGCAUUGUGGAAGAUACAAAAAUCAAUCAACUAUGGGUUCUGCCAUCAAAGACCUAGCAAUCUAGGAUGGGAGAUACAACACAUUUAGUAAAAAAGUUGUAAAAGAAUAUGUUGUGUCAUAUAUGAGACAGAGAUAAAAAGUGGCUAGAAAAGCGAGUUUCAGUUAUUACGGUUGCUAACAAGUUAUCCCAAGCCUCAGCAGUGUUAAAUACCUAUUUAUUAUUCUGUGGUUCAGGAAUUAGGACAGGGCACAGCAGGGACAGUUUGUCUCUGCUUCGUGAUGUCUGGGGCCUCAGCUGAUGACCUGAAUCUUGGGGGCUGGAAUCAUCUGAAGGCUCAUUUGUUUUCUUGUCUGGGAGCUGAUGCUGUAUAGACUCAAAGGACUGGUGAGCUGGAAUAGCUGGGGCUCCUCAGGCGUCCCUAUGUUUUGUGGUCUCUCCACCUGGUCUCUCCCUCAUGGCCUGUGUCUUGAGAGAGCAGCAGGUAGAAGCUGUACGGCCUUUUUGAACCCAGCUUUACUUCAAAUUCAUUUCUGCCACGUUCUGUUUGUUAGAAUCAAUUGACUAAGGCUGUCCCAUAUUUAAAGGGAAGGGAAUUAGACUCCACCUUUUGUAGGAGUAGUGUCAAAGAAUUUGUGGGCAUGUUUUAAAAUCAUCACACUGGGUGAAAAUCAGGAAAUUGAAUGGAUAUUGAAAAAUGAAUUUAAUAUGAAUGAGUAGAGGUAAGACAAAUGGAAGUCAACACAGGGAUCUACAUCAGCAGCAGGUAAACAACGCAUGAGCCGAACAGACUGGUUAGGCUAGGCAUUGGGAGUGUAGGAAAUAAGGCUGAAAACAUAGAUGGGGAUGAAGAUGUGCCAAGCUAAGGAGCAUGGAUUUGACUCAGCUGGGAACAGAACGCUAUUCAGUAGUGGUUUUCAACCUUGGUUGCCAUUGGAAUCAUCUGAGGAGCCUUAAAAUAACCAAUGCCUGGGUUCCACCCCCAGAGAUUCUAAUCUAGUUGUUCUGGAAUGGAGCCUAAGCAUCAGGACUUUUGAAAGCUUCCCAGGUGAUUCUUAUGUCAGCCAAGGUUGAGAACCAGUGCUCUGAAGGAUUUUGAGGAGAGAAGUGAUGUUAUCAGGAAUCAGUUUGCAUUCUUUCUCUGGGAAACCAAGGAAUCCUGCUAGAAACUCACACUCUCGCCAUCAUUUGCAAGUUGUCUCCAAGAGUAGAGAAACAUUCCCUUUGAUGUCAAGAAUGAGCUCUUCCCUGGGUGAGAGGACUAUUUCAGAUUCAAGGAAGAAAUGGCAAGAGAAAUAAUCCAGUACAAUGAUCUUUCCAGAAUAACAAAAUGUGGUUUCUUUGGACCUUGUUCAUGUCCUCACUGAAUACUCAUGUCAAUAAACUGAGAGACAAUGGCUUCUCACAAAAAAAAAAAUAUAAGCAAUGUGCUUGGCAAUAAACCCAUGCAUAUACAGUCAACUAAUCUUUGACAAGGGUGCCAAGACUACACAAUGGGAAGAGGACAAUUUCUUCAAUAAAUGGUGUUGGGACAAUUGGAUAUGUACCCACAAGCAAAAGAAUGAAAUUGGACCCUUAUCUUACACCAUACUCAAAAAUCAGCUCAAAGUGGAUUAAUCAUUAAGUGUAAGAGCUGAAACAAUAAAACUCCUAAAAGAAAGCAUAGGGAAAAAUCUUCUUGACAUUGGUCUUCACAAUGAUUGUUUAGAUAUGACACCAAAAAGUACGGGCAACAAAAGCAAAAAUAAAUAAGUAGGACUACAUCAAGCUAAAAAGCUUCUAUACAGCAAAGAAACCAUCAACAAAAAGAAAAAGCAAUCUACAGAAUGGGGGAAAAUAUCUGCAAAUCAUAUAUCUGAUAAGGGGUUAAUGUCUAAAAUAUAUAAGGAACUCAUACAACUCAAUACCAAAAAACAAAUAACCUGAUUUAAAAAUGGGCAAAGUCCCUGAAUAGAUAUUUUUCCAAAGAAGAUAAAUAAAUUGUCAACAGAUAUAUGAAAAGGUGCUCAAUAUCACUAAUCAUCAGGGAAAUGCAAAUCUAAACCACAAUGAGAUAUCAACUCACACCUGUUAAGAUGGCUAUUAAUAAAAAGACAGUAGAUAACAAGUGUUGGCAAGGAUAUGGAGAAAAAGGAACAUUGUACACCAUUGGUGGGAAUGUAAAUUGGUAUAGUCAUUAUGGAAAACAGUAUGGAGAUUCCUCAAGAAAUUAAAAAUAGGACUAAGAUAUUAUCCAGCAAUCCCACUUCUGAGUAUAUAUCAAAAGGAGAUGAAAUCACUAUCUUGAAGAGAUAUCUACACUCCUAUGUUCAUUGCAACAUUGUUCACAAUAGCCAAGACAUGGAAACAACCUAAGUGUCUUUCAACAGAUGAAUGGAUCAAGAAAAUGUAGUGUAUAUAUAUAUAAAAGGGAAUAUAAUUUGGCCAUAAAAAAGAAGGAAAUCCUGCCAUUUGUGACAACAUGGAUGAACCUGGAGGGCGUUAAUGCUAAACGAAAUAAACUAGACACAAAAAGACAAGUUCUGUGUGAUUUCACUUACACAUGUUACUAAAAAAGUGAAAUCACAGAACCAGAGAGUAGAAC